AUUGAACGCUGGCGGCAGGCCUAACACAUGCAAGUCGAGCGGAGCGGCGGACGGGUGAGUAAUGCCUAGGAAUCUGCCUGGUAGUGGGGGAUAACGUACGGCAACGGGCGCUAAUACCGCAUACGAUCAGAUGAGCCUAGGUCGGAUUAGCUAGUUGGUGGGGUAAAGGCCUACCAAGGCGACGAACCGUAACUGGUCUGAGAGGAUGAUCAGUCACACUAGAACUGAGACAAGGUCCAGAGUACGACGGGAGGCAGCAGUGGGGAACAUUGGACAAUGGGCGAAAGCCUGAUCCAGCGACGCCGCGUGGGGGAUGAAGGCUUUCGGGUUGUAAACCUCUGGCGCGAGCGAACGGGUAGCUGGAGAAGAAGCGCCGGCUAACUACGUGCCAGCAGCCGCGGUAAUAC
rnacentral:rRNA from 1 species